rnacentral:rRNA from 1 species
AACGAACGCUGGCGGCAUGCCUAACACAUGCAAGUUGAACGAGACCUUCGGGUCUAGUGGCGCACGGGUGCGUAACGCGUGGGAAUCUGCCCUUGGGUUCGGAAUAACAGUUAGAAAUGACUGCUAAUACCGGAUGAUGUCUUCGGACCAAAGAUUUAUCGCCCAGGGAUGAGCCCGCGUAGGAUUAGCUUGUUGGUGGGGUAAAGGCCUACCAAGGCGACGAUCCUUAGCUGGUCUGAGAGGAUGAUCAGCCACACUGGGACUGAGACACGGCCCAGACUCCUACGGGAGGCAGCAGUGGGGAAUAUUGGACAAUGGGCGAAAGCCUGAUCCAGCAAUGCCGCGUGAGUGAUGAAGGCCUUAGGGUUGUAAAGCUCUUUUACCCGGGAUGAUAAUGACAGUACCGGGAGAAUAAGCCCCGGCUAACUCCGUG